CGAAGGGGGCGAGCGUUGUUCGGAUUUACUGGGCGUAAAGGGCGCGCAGGCGGCAGACCAAGUCAGGCGUGAAAGCCCCGGGCUCAACCUGGGAACUGCGUCUGGGACUGGUUUGCUAGAGAUCGGGAGAGGAGAGUGGAAUUCCCAGUGUAGAGGUGAAAUUCGUAGAUAUUGGGAAGAACACCGGUGGCGAAGGCGGCUCUCUGGACCGAUACUGACGCUGAGGCGCGAAAGCGUGGGGAGCAAACAGGAUUAGAUACCCUGGUAGUCCACGCUGUAAACGAUGUGUGCUAGACGUUGGGGAGCCUAGCUCUUCGGUGUCGCAGCUAACGCGGUAAGCACACCGCCUGGGGAGUACGGCCGCAAGGUUA
rnacentral:rRNA from 1 species